UACCUGCCGGACUACUGCUAUAUUGUCUAACCAGCGAUCGUUGUACAUACAAGCGGACUGCUCAUAACACAUAUUAACUUAACCUAUGGAUGGGCAUAACCUCGGGAAACUGAGAAUAAUACCAAUGGACCACAGUGCCUGGAAUGGCCUGUGGGUUGAAAUGAUUUAUCGCCGUAGGAUAGGACUGCGGCCUAUCAGCUUGUUGGUGAGGUAAUGGCCCACCAAGGCUAUAACAGGUACGGGCUCUGAGAGGAGGGGCCCGGAGAUGGGUACUGAGACACGGACCCAGGCCCUAUGGGGCGCAGCAGGCGAGAAACCUUUGCAAUGUGCGAAAGCACGACAAGGUUAAUCCGAGUGUCUCCUGCUAAAGGAGUCUUUUGUCAGUUGUAGAAUCACUGGUGAAUAAGGGGUGGGCAAGUUCUGGUGUCAGCCCAAAAAAACCCCCUAGGGCCCGCGGUAAAACCAGACACCUCGAAGUGGUCCAGGAGCGUCUAUUCGGGCCCUAAAGCAUCCCGUAGCCAGGUUUGCAUAAAGUUUAUCAGGUUCACAUCUAAUGCGCUUNAACG
rnacentral:rRNA from 1 species